GACAACAUCUACAAAAAGAUUGGUCACCUUACCGAAAACACUAAGCCAUCCUAACUAAAUGAGAAGAUCCUAUUCAUUCCUUGAAGAGUUUUUAUAGCAAAGUUCACGAAAGAUAAUCUGUUGCAAUUAAGAUUUUUCUCUUAUAUAGUCUAAUAAUUGCAAGGUUUUACAUUCUGAUUAUUGUGGAGAAAAUGACAGAAUUUAAGAAAUACGUGGACUUUGGAAGUUCAAAAUUUAUCAUUUUUGAAGAAGCUAAUUUAGAAUAGGAUUUGAUAAUUUGGACUAUUCAUCACAUUGGUGGCUAUAAUAGUCAAAAUAAAUUGCUGGAUUUGAUAAAUAUCCAACUAAAAUAUUUUUUCAGUCGUACAUUGUCUGGUCAUAAAACAAAUAUUUUACAAGAUUUCCAGUCAUUUCUUCCAAAGCACUAUCACUGCAUGCUAACAUUUCAAGAAGUCAUGUUUCUCUUCUGGGAAAUGUGUAUUUUCAUUGAACCUUUGGAUUUACUAAUACUAUGAGAUUAUACAUUCAUGGUAUGAAUUCCUUUAAAGAUAGUAUUGUUCUUAGACCUGUAUCCAUUGUACCUUGUAUAUGCUUGACUCCAGUUCAGCUUCCAAUAGUUGUUGAAGGGACGAACAAGAACAUUAACUAUGUAACAAAACAGACUUUAGACUCUACCAAGUUAUUCAGCUUAAUUAUGGACCAUCAAAAUAUUCUCUCUUAAAAUAUUAUUUUACAUCCAUUACUGUCAAAGCCAGGAAUCCUUUGACCUCAAGGAUUAAUAUCCUAUACAAGUCUUAGAAUAUGUCAUUUAAAAAAAGGGUGUGUGUGUAUCUUUCAUAGAGUCACAAUGUACAUGAAAUGGGUUGGAAGGAUACAUCUUAACCUUUGUAAAUCCUCAAAUUGUGAAUAUCACAAUGAUAUAUAACUUUUCCCACAAAAUGUUGAGAACAAAUAAGCUUCUUGAGAUGUGGUUACCAGGUGGUUGGAUAAGCUCACUUACUAGAAAAGUGUAUCAGCUCUGCUAGAGAUGGGGUUUGAGUUUUUGAAACUCGGUAACAUUACAGAUUGUUUUAGUAGUUUGAGGGUUUUGAAACUCGUAUUAAAUCCAUGAGUGCAAGCACUUCUGUUUGUUUUGCAACGGACAAAUCACACCCACAGUACUGCAUGAUUUUUGACAUCAGACUUGGAGUGGACAAACUGGAAUACAUGAACACAUUUAAAGUUUCUAAGAUGAUAUUUGGAAACUGUGGCAUUGGAGAAGUUAUUGAAAUAACUGGCAAAUGUGUAGCCUAAUAAAGACUUGAUGAAAUAGUUUUCA
rnacentral:lncRNA from 1 species